UCUCUGAAAAGACAGUCACGCAACCACUACUCCAAGCUUUCUCCCCUCUCUCUGUCUCUCACAAUCUCAAUCUCACGAGUCACGAUCUCAUUCUCUAAAAAUUAUGGAGUCUCAGGACGAACAAAAUCUAGUGUGUCCAUCUUCAAGUACAAUUUCUAUUGAGACUGAGAGUCAAAGGCUUAUGCAGUCUGAUGAAGUUACUAUGGAAGUUAGUGAUGAAACGGGUAAAAGAAAACUUAUUUCUAAAGCAUAGAAAUAUUUCAAAGUGGUGAAGCUUGAUGGUGUUCCCUUUGGUGUUUGUAAGUAUUGUAAUACUCGUAUCAAAUCAACAAGAAAAUAUGGGACAUCAUCUUUGUGGGAUCAUAUUCGUAGAUGUCGUAAGAAGCCAAGUGACUAAGAAGAUGGGGGUGGUUUGGGGGGUGACGAUGGUAGCCAACAAUAUUAUUUUGAUCAGGAUAUUUCACGUAGGGAACUUGCUCAUGCCAUCAUUUUGUAUGAGUACCCUUUGUCGAUGUCGAUCAUAUUGGAUUUAGGAAGUUUGUUGCUAGUCUCCAGCCAUUAUUUAAAAUGGUGUCUAGGAACACAAUCAAGAAUGAUAUUUUAAAGAUUUUUGACAAUUUGAAAUCAAAAACUUUUAAGUUGUUGGAAAAACUCAUAAGUAAAAUUGCAAUAACAAUUGAUAUGUGGACUUCAAACAAUACCAAAAAGGGUUCAUGGCUAUUAUGACACAUUUUAGUGAUGAUUCAUGGAGGCUUCAAAGCCAUAUUCUUAGAUUUAUUUAUGUUCCUGCUCCACAUGAUAAUGAUACUUUGUGUAGUGCGUUGCUUAAUUUCUUGUUAUAGUGGAAUCUUAAAAGAAGAAUAUCAACAAUUACACUUGAUAAUUCUAACAAAAACAAUGCUAUGAUAAAAACCUUGUUAGAUGAGAAACGUUGUAAGAGGGAUUUAUUGUUGAUGGGUCGAAUGUUGCAUGUGCGUUAUGCCGCACACAUCUUAAAUUUGAUUGUUCAAGAAGGACUAAAGGUGAUAGAAUAUGGUAUUAGCAAUGUGCGUUAUAGUGUCUUAUACUGGAUAUCAUCUUCAGGCAGAAUUGAAAGGUUUGAAGAAGCUUCACGGUUGCUACAUAUUUCUUGUACUAAAAAGUUGUCGUUAGAACUCAAAAUAUCUUAUGUUGAGAACACCCCUAGAUUACAAAUAGGUGCUUACGAAGUUGAGUAUAAAUGACACCAAUUAUCGUUGUUUUCCAACCGAAGGGCAAUGGAGUGCAGCACGAGAAGUUUGUGAAAAGUUGAAGUUGUUUCACCGUAUCACUGAACAAUUCCCAGGGAGUCAAUAUCCAACUUCAACUCAAUACUUUUUAAAAGUUUGUGAUAUUAAGCUAGAACUGGAAGUUUGGGUGAAACGUUUAAAUCCUUUGAUUAGCUCUAUGAUAUCAUCAAUAUUGUUAAAAUUUUAAAAAUAUUGGGAUGAUAUGCAUAUUUUGAUAGGUGUAGCUGCUAUCUUUGAUCCGAGAUAUAAGGUGAAGUUAGUGGAGUUCUAUCUUAUACAAAUUUAUGGUGAAGAAGCUUUAGAUAAAAUUCAUGAAGUUCAAAAUCAUUGUUUUGAUCUCAUUCAAGAGUAUAAGAGUAGAGUGGUUGCUUCACAUGAUUUAUUUCAGGCAUCUAGUUCUAAUGAAGUUGCUAGUGUUGUUGAGGGUGAUUGACUGUCUAGUUUUGAUAGGUUUGUCACAUCGAGUAGCGCGAACGUGGACACAAUAUCGUAGUUGGAUUCAUAUUUAGAAGAAAAUGUGCUACCUCGUACGCCAUCAUUUGACAAUUUAAGCUGGUGGAAGACAAUCAGAUUAAAAUUUCCUACUUUGCAAAGAUGGCUCGUGACCUCUUAGCCAUUCCUGUCUCUACCGUUGCUUCAGAAUCGGCCUUUAGCAUUAGCAGGAGAUUGAUUAGCCCGCAUCGUAGUAGACUUCAUCCUACUACUUUAGAGGCUUUGAUGUGUGCUCGCACUUGGUUAUGGAACGAGAUAAAUGAUAAGUAACUUUUUUAAUGACUUACUAUGUUAAUAAUAGUUUUCAAUUUCUUAUACUAUUAUACUUUUCUUUUUAGGUUCGACUUCAAGUAUUGAUAGAGUUUCAUGUCCGACGUUGCUUGAUGAAGAAGAGUUGCUUGAUAGAAGAUUAGAAGUUGUCCAUGAGGAUCUACUAUUAAGUUUUUUUUCAUUGAGUUUAUUUUCUUAUAGGGAAGCUAGAGGGAUAUUUUAGUUUUUGACUUUUCUAUGUACUUAUAUGAUGAAUUCUAAUAGUUUAACUUAUAAUUGACAUGUUGUUUUUCUGUCUUGCAGGAUGGUGGUACUUCUCGUAGAAUCAUAAUUAUUCAAGUUGUAACAGAAUAUUUAUUUACCUGUUUUGUAUUGAAUGGAGGCAACAAAGUAAUUCAAGAUUCAUAUGUACAUGUACUAUCUAAGAGUCCUGACAAAUUGGAAGGAUUGGCAUCCCCAAAUUUCAUAUUGCUAAUUGACCUGUUUUAGAUCUUUUUAAA